ACAAGUCAUCGAGGUUGUUUGCUGCCAUUAAUUAAUACAAAUGACUGGGGAUGUGAUAUCUAAAAUAUGUUUUGGAUAUCUUGAGUGUUUACUUGCUCGGAUGAUUGUUCAUCAUCGUUUUCUUCACUAAUGUUUGGUUGGUGCAAAAAUGCUUCGAGAAGAAAAUGAACUUUAGUGAGAGAUUAAUUGGAGUAAAAUUAAUUUAUUGCUGGUUCCGGAUGCUGGAAGCGCAGAAAUACUUCCGCCGAGAAAUUGAAAGAAUUGUCUGCUGCUCUGGAUAUUUCUCGGUGUGGUGAGUGACUUUCCGCAUGAUAUAUUUUUUUUACUAAAUCAUAAAUUUUUUUUAUUUAUCUUUUGACUCGAGUCGUGGGC